rnacentral:rRNA from 1 species
GAUGAACGCUGGCGGCGUGCUUAACACAUGCAAGUCGAGCGAAGCACUUUUGCGGAUUUCUUCGGAUUGAAGCAAUUGUGACUGAGCGGCGGACGGGUGAGUAACGCGUGGGUAACCUGCCUCAUACAGGGGGAUAACAGUUGGAAACGGCUGCUAAUACCGCAUAAGCGCACAGUACCGCAUGGUACGGUGUGAAAAACUCCGGUGGUAUGAGAUGGACCCGCGUCUGAUUAGCUAGUUGGUGGGGUAACGGCCUACCAAGGCGACGAUCAGUAGCCGACCUGAGAGGGUGACCGGCCACAUUGGGACUGAGACACGGCCCAAACUCCUACGGGAGGCAGCAGUGGGGAAUAUUGCACAAUGGGGGAAACCCUGAUGCAGCGACGCCGCGUGAGCGAUGAAGUAUUUCGGUAUGUAAAGCUCUAUCAGCAGGGAAGAAAAUGACGGUACCUGACUAAGAAGCCCCGGCUAACUACGUGCCAGCAGCCGCGGUAAUACGUAUGGGGCAAGCGUUAUCCGGAUUUACUGGGUGUAAAGGGAGCGUAGACGGCAUGGCAAGCCAGAUGUGAAAGCCCGGGGCUCAACCCCGGGACUGCAUUUGGAACUGUCAGGCUAGAGUGUCGGA